GACGAACGCUGGCGGUGUGCUUAACACAUGCAAGUCGAACGGAAAGGCCCUGCUUUUGUGGGGUGCUCGAGUGGCGAACGGGUGAGUAACACGUGAGUAACCUGCCCUUGACUUUGGGAUAACUUCAGGAAACUGGGGCUAAUACCGGAUAGGAGCUCCUGCUGCAUGGUGAGGGUUGGAAAGUUUCGGCGGUUGGGGAUGGACUCGCGGCUUAUCAGCUUGUUGGUGGGGUAGUGGCUUACCAAGGCUUUGACGGGUAGCCGGCCUGAGAGGGUGACCGGCCACAUUGGGACUGAGAUACGGCCCAGACUCCUACGGGAGGCAGCAGUGGGGAAUAUUGCACAAUGGGCGGAAGCCUGAUGCAGCAACGCCGCGUGCGGGAUGACGGCCUUCGGGUUGUAAACCGCUUUCGCCUGUGACGAAGCGUGAGUGACGGUAAUGGGUAAAGAAGCACCGGCUAACUACGUG
rnacentral:rRNA from 1 species